GCCUGUUGACUCUGACCAAAUGGAGGAAUGCAUAAGGGACAUCAAACUGAUUUCUGCUACUGAAAUAGCACUCCACAGAAUCUCAUGUGUUCUUUAGCAUAUUAUGUUUGCAUAUAAAGAGAUUUUUAAUUGGUUAUUAUAUAGAAUUUGAAUAUAUUUGAACAGUUUGAAAAGGUUCUUUAUUUUGUCACUUUUAAAUCUUUAAUUUCUUUUUUAAUGAUUUGCAAAAAAACAGAGACAGAAAGUAAAUGAGCAAAUAUUAGUUAACAAAUGAGUUACUGAAAAAAGGAUAGUCAAAAUUAUACCUUGUAGACUGCAGCUUUAUCUCAGAGAUAUUUACACUAUGACCUUACAGAUGAUAGUAAAAUAGAGUUCAAGGGACUAAAAUCUUUAUAAAUCUAAGCAAUACUUUGUAAGGAUUGAAGAGAAAUUUUCCCUCAUUUCUUAUUCUUUCCAUAUUCCUUUCUCUUGUAUCAUUAAAGAGAAAGUCUUUCAAGGAAUUCGUUACAAACUGCCUUAGUUUACAGGUGGUUGGCUUUCAUUUUUUGUCAAGUUUUUCUAACUUUGAAAUAAUACAAAUCAUUUGUUUUAAAUAGAGAUCUAAGAAUCAAUAGCAUUUACUGGUGGG
rnacentral:lncRNA from 1 species